rnacentral:rRNA from 1 species
AGCAGUAGGGAAUCUUCCACAAUGGGCGAAAGCCUGAUGGAGCAACGCCGCGUGGGUGAAGAAGGUCUUCGGAUCGUAAAACCCUGUUGUUAGAGAAGAAAGUGCGUGAGAGUAACUGUUCACGUUUCGACGGUAUCUAACCAGAAAGCCACGGCUAACUACGUGCCAGCAGCCGCGGUAAUACGUAGGUGGCAAGCGUUAUCCGGAUUUAUUGGGCGUAAAGGGAACGCAGGCGGUCUUUUAAGUCUGAUGUGAAAGCCUUCGGCUUAACCGGAGUAGUGCAUUGGAAACUGGGAGACUUGAGUGCAGAAGAGGAGAGUGGAACUCCAUGUGUAGCGGUGA